GCACCACGUGAGAGGGGAGGAGGUCAGAGGGAAUCAUUGCUUAAGAAUGCAUGCCCACAUCUCUCUCCUAAUCCUGCUCUGACACUGGGCAUGUCGGAUCAUGCACGGAGGAGAUGCACGGGGCAUGCCCCUGCUGGCAGCCAAAGUUCUGAAAAGCACUUCUGUUCAAGGACAGAAACUGUGGCUCUCUGUACUCUCAGAGGGUGUCAGCAAUUGCAGAAGUGUGGAAGAGGAGAGGAAGUCUCCUGGCGCCAGCUGAAGGAAGGAGGAGCAGUGGCAUGAAGAGUGCCCCUUCAACCAGCAAGGAAAAGAGGAACCACCAGUUCUGUCUCUAAACCACCAGAUCUCUUUUCUAUGCUAGCAGGAUGUUCCUCCCAGCCCCUGCUUCAAUUUUAAAUUGUCUGUCAGAGAAAUAAAUGCAAAUACCCCAGGUGAGAACUAAUUUGUAUCACCAAAAAUGAAUGGAACCCAUGGAGUCAGAAAAAAAAAAUUCUAAAUUGGGCUGAGUUUCAUUGUAUUCACUUCUCUUUGAACUUGCUGAAGUUCAGAUACAUUCAGAACUUGGAGUUUUGGAGCAGACCCAUCUCAGUUGUCCACUCACUUAUCCUCUGUUGUUGUGGUUGUUUAUUACCAAACAGUGUGUGCAAGAUAUCACUCUAGGUGAAAAUGUAUAAAAAUUAGUUCAGCUCAAAAAUGCACUCAAAGAAGCUCUUUGAAUUAAUUUAAUAAUAGAAUAUGGUGAAUAUUUCUUUUGCCUAAUAGUCUCCAAAUAAUUUUAAAGUAUUAUUUAGCACUAGCUACAGCUCUCAGUUGUGGGAAUAUGUUUUCACAGGCAGCUGUGAUAUGGUCAUGUGAUUUACCCCAAUUCACAAAAAUUUAAAAACCAAGAGUAAACACAAGGAGGCAGGGAUAGGGCAGCAAGAAAAGCGCCAGGGAUUCAAUCCAGAUUGGAAUGAAAGUUUUGCCUCCUAUUCCUGCUGGACUAUAUUCUCUGUCAUAAUUAUUCUCACUAAUCUAUCUGACCUACAGAAUGUUAAGUUACACACUGUAUGAUUCUACGCAAUGUUAUUUUUGACAUUUUUUAUUUACUUCCUUUUUGACCACUUACCAGGUUUCCUCAGAGAGGGAUGAUAAAGUCUAUCCUCAGAGAAGCCCAAAGUGUAUUAUUGCACUCCUGGAACAGUUUCUAUACCCAGCUGCUCCUCAAACAUUAGAAUGAGCUGUAUCUGUCAGGCCAUCCCUUUUAAUUUUCUCAAGCAUUGGAUAUUUGUGCAGUGCUUUACCUGCAUGUAAUUGCAAUGCCACAAUUGAAAUACACUUAAAAAUAUA